GGAGCGGUAGUUCAGCUGGUUAGAAUACCUGCCUGUCACGCAGGGGUUCGAGUCCCGUCCGUUCCG
rnacentral:tRNA from 1 species